AUUGAACGCUGGCGGCAGGCCUAACACAUGCAAGUCGAGCGGAGCGGCGGUCGGGUGAGUAAUGCCAAGGAAUCUGCCAGUUACUGGGGGAUAAGGUUCAGAAAUGGGCGCUAAUACUGAAUACUAUCAGAAUAGCAUAGGUCGGAUUAGCUAGUUGGUGGGGUAAAGGCAAACCAAGGCGACGAUCCGUAACUGGUCUGAGAGGAUGAUCAGUCACACUGGAACUGAGACACGGUCCAGACUCCUACGGGAGGCAGCAGUGGGGAAUAUUGGACAAUGGGCGAAAGCCUGAUCCAGCCAUGCCGCGUGUGUGAAGAAGGUCUUCGGAUUGUAAAGCACUUUAAGUUGGGAGGCGUUACCCACAGAAUAAGCACCGGCUAACUUCGUGCCAGCAGCCGCGGUAAUUC
rnacentral:rRNA from 1 species